CGCAAGUCGAGCGGAAACGAAAGUAGCUUGCUACUAGGCGUCGAGCGGCGGACGGGUGAGUAAUGCUUAGGAAUCUACCAAGUAGUGGGGGAUAGCCAUUGGAAACGAUGAUUAAUACCGCAUAUAUCCUACGGGGGAAAGCAGGGGACCUUCGGGCCUUGCGCUAUUUGAUGAGCCUGAGUGAGAUUAGCUAGUUGGUGGGGUAAAGGCCUACCAAGGCGACGAUCUCUAGCUGGUCUGAGAGGAUGAUCAGCCACACUGGGACUGAGACACGGCCCAGACUCCUACGGGAGGCAGCAGUGGGGAAUAUUGCACAAUGGACGAAAGUCUGAUGCAGCCAUGCCGCGUGUGUGAAGAAGGCCUUCGGGUUGUAAAGCACUUUCAGCGAGGAGGAAAGGUCAGUAAGUAAUAUUUGCUGGCUGUGACGUUACCCGCAGAAGAAGCACCGGCUAAUUUAGUGCCAGCAGCCGCGGUAAUACUAAAGGUGCAAGCGUUAAUCGGAAUUACUGGGCGUAAAGCGCGCGUAGGUGGUUUGUUAAGUUGGAUGUGAAAGCCCAGGGCUCAACCUUGGAACUGCAUUCAAAACUGACUCACUAGAGUACGAGAGAGGUUAGUGGAAUUUCCUGUGUAGCGGUGA
rnacentral:rRNA from 1 species